rnacentral:rRNA from 1 species
GGAGCCUGAGAAACGGCUACCACAUCUAAGGAAGGCAGCAGGCGCGCAAAUUACCCAAUGAAAACAGUUUCGAGGUAGUGACGAGAAAUAACAAUACAGAGCAUUUAAAUGUUUUGUAAUUGGAAUGGUGGGAAUCUAAACCCCUUUCAGAGUAACAAUUGGAGGGAAAGUCUGGUGCCAGCAGCCGCGGUAAUUCCAGCUCCAAUAGCGUAUAUUUGAGUUGUUGCAGUUAAAAAGCUCGUAGUUGGAUUUCUGUUUUGAUUCUGGCGGAUGCCUAACUUAAUUGUGGGUGUUGACAUGCUCGGAAUGAGAACAUUUUCUCGAUGUGUGUUUUGUGGUGCUUUUAUAAGACUGCCGCAGGAUGAUAUCAUUGAGACUUUUACUUUGAGAAAAAUAGAGUGUUUCUGGCAGGCUUUAAAUCGCCUUGAAUACUGCAGCAUGGAAUAAUAAUUUAGGACUUUGGUUCUAUUUUGUUGGUUUCUAGGACUAAAGUAAUGAUUAAUAGG